CUACCAAUUGCUUGCAUAGAUGAGCUCACAAACAAGAAGCAUGCAUGAUGAACAAGUGGGGUGGUGCCUUCCUAAAGGUUUCCCACGGUUGGCAAUUCCCAACUUGGGUGGUGGCCGUUGUGAGUAGGGCAAAGAUGCUCUGAACAUGAAAGAUUGCAUGUUGGUCAUACUGAAAAGCUAAUGUUAUCAUAGAUCACUAAACAAAG
rnacentral:lncRNA from 1 species